GAGUUUGAUCUUGGCUCAGAUUGAACGCUGGCGGCAUGCCUAACACAUGCAAGUCGAACGAGAAAGGAGGGUAACCUCCGAGUAAAGUGGCGGACGGGUGAGUAAUACGUAGGAAUCUGCCUUAGAGUGGGGGAUAACCACGCGAAAGCGUGGCUAAUACCGCAUAAUCUCUCUGGAGCAAAGGGGGCUAGCAAUAGCUCUCGCUUUAAGAUGAGCCUACGCCGGAUUAGCUAGUUGGUAGGGUAAUGGCCUACCAAGGCGACGAGCCGUAGCUGGUUUGAGAGAACGACCAGCCACACUGGGACUGAGAUACGGCCCAGACUCCUACGGGAGGCAGCAGUGGGGAAUAUUGGACAAUGGGCGCAAGCCUGAUCCAGCAAUGCCGCGUGUGCGAUGAAGGCCUGCGGGUUGUAAAGCACUUUCGGUGGGGAAGGAAUACUCAAAGCUAAUACCUUUGAGGGUUGACGUUACCCACAGAAGAAGCACCGGCUAACUCUGUGCCAGCCGCCGCUGUAAC
rnacentral:rRNA from 1 species